UCCUUCUAAAUACAAUUGCUCGUUGAUACAUUUUUUAUAACUCAAAUAUUUUCUAUCAAAGUGUAGCUCUUUAAUUUAAUCAACUACUACUUAAGUUGGUAUUUGUAUACUGGUGUUCCCUGGUUAAAAGUUCAUCAUAGUUAUGUACAUCUAAAACAUGCCCCACUCCAUCAUAAAGUGAAUUUUGUUGCUGUGUUGUGUUUACAUUGGUUUCUGUUAUGUUUCGG
rnacentral:lncRNA from 1 species